UCUCCCCCUUUUCCCUUUGCUGCAUAACAACAGUAGCGCCGCCAUUACUGCCGUGAGAGAGCGAUAGUGGGCCUUCGCCGAGACUAUGAGCCACACGGAACAAGUUGGUCAGGGGUCUGCACCAAGCUAGUGCGAAACCAACCGCGGUAGUUGCUGGCGGAAUCGAUGGCUGGCCAACCCUUAAUUGCUCGUCGGAGCCACAAAACCACCACGGAUCCGCCUGGCACCGCGGCCAACCUCAACAGAGCGCCAAUCCUUGGUAAGAAACCCCUACAUCAAUACCUAGUCAUCUCCACUUCGUUUAGGGUUUGUCGCAUUAGAGUUUAGGGUCUAUUUGGGUCGGUUGGCGCACACCGGCAAUGACGCCAUCGUAUUCCGGCGAGUGCGCCGCUGAUCUGGUCGAGAGAUACCCCUUCGUCCGAUAAGGCCCUAGUCGUAGAUCUGCGAUCCGAGGGAUAAGAGCGAAUCUGAUGGAUUUAAAAUCUGGGGCGUUGAUCACUGAUCUGAUGGGCCGCAUUCCAUACCGCUUCAGUAUAAUCUGGAUCUAAUCCCGGCCCUCCAAUGAGGAUCUAGUGGCCCAAAACUCACCAUACCCUUUUGCCUGGUAGUUUUCCAUAAGCAUCCCUAUAGUUUUGUAUUAUCAACCCGCGGUCCCCUCGGGUGCGCCUCUGAGUCUCAGUUUCUUUUAUGCCAGAGCCUCUGUGUUUUUCAGAAAUU
rnacentral:lncRNA from 7 species